AACGAAGUAGAGAUACAUUAGGUGCCCUUCGGGGAGAGUCGAGACAGGUGGUGCAUGGUUGUCGUCAGCUCGUGUCGUGAGAUGUUGGGUUAAGUCCCGCAACGAGCGCAACCCUUAUUGUUAGUUGCUACGCAAGAGCACUCUAGCAAGACUGCCGUUGACAAAACGGAGGAAGGUGGGGAUGACGUCAAAUCAUCAUGCCCUUUAUGACCUGGGCUACACACGUACUACAAUGGCGGCGAACAGAGGGGAGCAAAGAGGUGACUCAGAGCAAAUCCCAAAAAGCCGUCUCAGUUCAGAUUGCAGGCUGCAACUCGCCUGCAUGAAGACGGAAUUGCUAGUAAUCGCGAAUCAGCAUGUCGCGGUGAAUACGUUCCCGGGCCUUGUACACACCGCCCGUCAAACCAUGAGAGUUGGGAAUACCCGAAGUCUGUAAUCUAACCGCAAGGAGGAUGCAGCCGAAGGUAGGCUCAAUGAUUGGGGUUAAGUCGUAACAAGGUAGCCGUAUCGGAAGGUGCGGU
rnacentral:rRNA from 1 species